rnacentral:lncRNA from 1 species
ACAGUAUCUUGUAAUGAGAUCAUGAACUCAAGUGAUAUCAAAAUUAUCAUUUUUAUAGUUGAGAUAAUACACGGACUGUUGUCUAUUUUUCUGUACAUGUAUUUCGCGUUAUAAUCCAUAUUACAAUUAAUAUCAUAGAUCACAAGAUAUUAUGUGAUAGGUUUACAUUUUUUCUUUCUUUCGGAUUAAUUUUGUCCUUACUGGAAUUUAUUAUGGAUGUUAAAACUGCGUCUUUUAAACUAACUUAUAUGAAUAAGUUAUAAAAUAGGCUCAUUUACCAAUCCUACAGUCGUAAUGGCGCCAGCUUUUGAGUACGAAUUUGAGACAUCAACGUUUUUAAUUUCGACGACAACAGUUGCAGACGACACUUUUGAUUACGUCAGACUUGUCUGGAUUAUUCCAACAGUUAUUGGAGUAGUUGCUUUGUUAUUUGGCCUAGCUGUCGGGCUAUUUUACUGUGUGAAAAAUACGGAACUAUUUUUUCUGAAACAUUGUCCUUGUUGCAGACGACAAAUUAAAAACGAGGAAUACAUACAUCUCAACGAGACCUACAACCUGUACAACGAAAACUAUAUGAUAAAUGAUGAGAGAUAAGGGUCUCAAAGUUCUUGUAGAGUGCAUAAAAAGUUACCAGGAGUUGUCUGUCUACAUUGAAAGUAUUGUUGUUACAUAAACAUCAAGGAACGUUGACUCAAAAUGAGGAACUUAAUAUUGUUACUAUGUCAUGAACCAGAGUGCGAACAAGAAUCAAAUUACUUCAACAGUUGUUAUAAUGAACAGAAUAGAAGAGAAGAGAACAGAAAUUUUACUUAUUUCAUCAAUACAUACAAACAAAAUCACACAGUAGUGUUAAGAUAACAAUUAAAGUUGAAAGAAGGCACAAUUACAGUAUAUGAACGUUAUUUCAUUUCAUAAAUUCAAAGUUCUCUGUUCUAUUAUUGUUUCUUUAUGCAUGUCCGCAUGUAUAUCUAAUGAAAUGUGUAUUUCGAUAUUAUAUUUUUGUUAAUGAAAAUACAAAAUAUAAACGCUUGCAUACUA